AAGGCCUUAGCUUAAUUAAAGUGUCUGUCUUGCUCACAGAGGAUGUGGGGUAGUGUCCCGCAGGUUUUA
rnacentral:tRNA from 1 species